UACGUAGGGUGCGAGCGUUGUCCGGAAUCAUUGGGCGUAAAGCGCGUGUAGGCGGCUCGGUAAGUCCGGUGUGAAACCUUGGGGCUCAACCCCAAGCCUGCACUGGAUACUGUCGAGCUUGAGUCCGGGAGGGGAGAGCGGAAUUCCUAGUGUAGCGGUGAAAUGCGCAGAUAUCAGGAGGAACACCGGUGGCGAAGGCGGUUCUCUGGGCAUUACCUGACGCUGAGGAGCGAAAGUGUGGGGAGCGAACAGG
rnacentral:rRNA from 1 species